rnacentral:rRNA from 1 species
GAUGAACGCUGGCGGCGUGCCUAAUACAUGCAAGUCGAGCGAACAGACGAGGAGCUUGCUCCUCUGACGUUAGCGGCGGACGGGUGAGUAACACGUGGAUAACCUACCUAUAAGACUGGGAUAACUUCGGGAAACCGGAGCUAAUACCGGAUAAUAUAUUGAACCGCAUGGUUCAAUAGUGAAAGACGGUUUUGCUGUCACUUAUAGAUGGAUCCGCGCCGCAUUAGCUAGUUGGUAAGGUAACGGCUUACCAAGGCAACGAUGCGUAGCCGACCUGAGAGGGUGAUCGGCCACACUGGAACUGAGACACGGUCCAGACUCCUACGGGAGGCAGCAGUAGGGAAUCUUCCGCAAUGGGCGAAAGCUUGACGGAGCAACGCCGCGUGAGUGAUGAAGGUCUUCGGAUCGUAAAACUCUGUUAUUAGGGAAGAACAAAUGUGUAAGUAACUAUGCAAGUCUUGACGGUACCUAAUCAGAAAGCCACGGCUAACUACGUG